GACAAUAAAGCAUAAUAUAACAUGCAUCAAUUUGCAAAAUUGAAAAACUGUAAUGAAUUACUAUUGUCU
rnacentral:tRNA from 1 species